rnacentral:snRNA from 1 species
AGCGUUGUGCAGGGGCCAGAUCGUGGCCCAUCAGGCUGAUCUGAAGCAUGAUUAUUGCUGAUGGAAAAUUUUUCCCAAAGAGGGAACCUUUUUUUAAUCCACGUAAAAAAUUCUGCAUAGCUCGGUAAGACC